CCCUGGUGCUCUCUCACAAUCCAUAUCACCCUUUGUGCAUCACCGUGUGGGUGCUCUCCUUUCUGAAAAGGGAGCAUUUGCACUUUUACACAGACCCACCGCAUGUCUAGAAUGUCUUAGUAUUUGCGAUAAUAUGCAAUCAAUACAACUUUCAACAACGGAUCUCUUGGCUCUCGCAUCGAUGAAGAACGCAGCGAAAUGCGAUACGUAAUGUGAAUUGCAGAAUUCAGUGAAUCAUCGAAUCUUUGAACGCACCUUGCGCCCCUUGGAAUUCCGAGGGGCACACCCGUUUGAGUGUCGUGAAUAUCCUUCAACCUUUCUUGGUUUCUCAACCAAGGAAGGCUUGGACUUUGGGGGUUAUUGCUGGCCUCAGUCGAAGCCAGCUCCUCCUAAAUGGAUUAGUGGGGUCUACUUUGCCGAUCCUUGACGUGAUAAGAUGUUUCUACGUCUUGGGUUUCGCACUGUUGCUUUGGACUCUGCUUCU
rnacentral:misc_RNA from 1 species